UCUCUCUCUCUCUCUCUCUCUCUCUCUCUUUCACUCAACACACUCUCUAAGUAAAAAACGCAAUCGAUCGGCAGAACACUAGCCGGUUUAAAACGCUUCGCACCGAGAAUUUAUCGUCGAUAAAGGGAACGAAGCAAUUAGCGGCCGACGUGUGCCUAAGGAUAGAGUAAAAAGUGAAGGGACAGAAGAGCUGUAAAGGAAGGACGAAGAGAAAGACGACAACGACGACAACGACGACAACGACGACGACGACGACGACAACGACGACAACGACGGCGACGACGACGACGGCGACGAAGAAGAAAAAGAAGAAGAAGAAGAAGAAGAAGAAGAUAGAAGAGAAAGAGAAAGAGAAAGAGGAAGAGGAAGAGGAGAAGGAGAAGAUGCAGAAGAAGAAGGAGGGGGAGGAGGAAGAACUCACGUAUGUGGAGCGCAGCAUCCAAGCCAAGAGAAGAACACGCUCGAUAAAUCAAGACUCCUCCGGGCUCUCUACGCCAGUGGGGCAGCAGUUCGAGGAACUCUGCAGAAGAAGACCGAUUAUAAACUCUCGUGUUGCUUGAUUUAUCUUUUUUUUUUCUUUUUCUUUUUUUUUCUUCGCUUAACAUCUUCGACAAAUUUGCUUAACCGUAGAUUAGGUGCAGCCUAGAGUACGAGUGUUGGUCGUCAUUGGACGAUUGUAUAAAAGGAAGAAAAGAACAAAUAUAAAUUAAAAAAAAAAAGAAAAAAAAAAGAAAAAAAAUAGAAGAAAUAAAGAAAGGAAAAAAAAAAGAAAGAAAUUUAGAAAGAUUAGAAAGCCAAGAAGAAGAUUAAGUGAGAUAGACGAUAAGCAAAUUCGUUUAAGAAACGAUCGAACGAUGCAGUACGAAUAAUUAAUGAAUGAAUGAAUGAAUGAAUUAAUGAAUGAAUGAAUUAAUUAAUGAAUGAAUGAAAUGUUUCACACGUAAUCACGGUCGCUGAAGCUGUUACAAGCUUUUGCAAAUUGGAGAGAGAGAGAGAAGGAGAGAGAGAGAGAGAAAGAAAAAGCAAGAAGAAGAGAAAGAGAGAGAGAGAGAGAGAGAGAGAGAUAGAGACAGAGAAACUUGUCUCUCUUCGAAUGUACUUACGACGAUCGCCGAUCUCGAAGGUACGCACAGAUUCACUAAUUGCAGAUCGUUUCGAUCCUCCUGCACCGUAGUCCUCCCUUUCGAUCUAUCCUGAAAGUCCACGGAAAUCUCUUUAUUCGAGAAUGAAGUUUACGUCGACGUCCCAUAAAAAUUCCUAAUUUCAAUGAUCAUUCGUAAAAUCAUUUCGAACGAAAUCAUCGGAUUGAUAUAGUUUCGAUUUAAAUACGUAAGGGCACGUUGAUUAAUCCUUGAAAAAAGAAAAGAAAAGAAGAAAAAAAAAGAAAAGAGAACGAUCGGAAUAAAGGAUAAGGAUAAGAUAAGAAAUGAAAUAAAAAUAAUACAAAAUAGAAAAGAAAAGAUAGAAAAGAAAAGAAAAGAAAAGCAUGGCGGCUCUUGAUAGAGGACAUACUUGUAGAGGAGACCAUCGAGGUACUAAUGAUCCAACCUAACCGUGAGUUACAUCAACGGUGGCCAGUGUCUUGUAAGUUGCUAAGUGAAAAUACGCGUAGAUCCUUUGGAGAUACAAGAGAUCCUCUUUCUCUUCUCUCCGUCUUCCUCUAUUUCCAUGCAAGAGAAAGAAAGAGAUAAAAGGAAGAAGAAGAAGAAGAAGAAGAAGAAGAAGAAGAAGAAGAAGAAGUAGAAGAAGAAGAAGAAGAAGAAGCAGUAAACGGCGUAGGCAUAAUCCUCGCGAGUCCUAUGCCCUUCCUCCUUUUUCCCUUCGGUCCUACCUCUACGUACACAUAAACAAGAAAUACCUACACGUAUAUCAUGUACAACGACUUCAAACUCGCUUUUUAAAUGUAUAUGUGUACGUCUGUGUACGUCUCUGUUCGUGUAUAUAUGUGGUAUGUGCGUGUAUGCGUGGCAUGGCGUGGCUAAUCCUAAUACCAGGACCCUGAAACGCCGCACGGCCCAUUGGACAAAGGACCCAUGACGACGCCUAACCCUGGAUACACCACCGGUCGCCAUUUAUUUAUUUCACCCGCCAGCACCUCACUCUUUUUUUAAGAUAUUACACUUACACAUCUCCCGUUUUAUUUAUUUACGAUCGCCGCCACGACAUUGGCGUAACCUUUUUAUUUUUUUUGUAUUUUGUCUUCUUCUUCUCUUUCCUUUCCUUUCCUUCUUUCUUUCUUCCAUGCGUUCUCGUUCGUUCGUUCGUUCGCUCGCUAUCUAAAGCUACUUUUUUCUUUU